UACGUAGGGGUCGAGCGUUGUCCGGACUUACUGGGCGUAAAGCGUGGGUAGGUGGGUGCUGAUGUGCCGUGUGAAAGCGCCGCGCUUCUCGCGGCGAGGUCGCGGUAGACACAGCGCCUAGAGGCACGGAGAGGGGCGUAGAAUUCCCGGUGUAGUGGUGAAAUGCGUAGAUAUCGGGAGGAAUACCAGUGGCGAAGGCGACCAUCUGGACGGAUACUGACGCUGAGACGGCGAAAAGCGUGGGUAGCAAACAGG
rnacentral:rRNA from 1 species